rnacentral:rRNA from 1 species
UACGAAGGGGGCUAGCGUUGCUCGGAAUCACUGGGCGUAAAGCGCACGUAGGCGGAUCUUUAAGUCAGGGGUGAAAUCCCAAGGCUCAACCUUGGAACUGCCUUUGAUACUGGGGAUCUCGAGUCCGGAAGAGGUGAGUGGAACUGCGAGUGUAGAGGUGAAAUUCGUAGAUAUUCGCAAGAACACCAGUGGCGAAGGCAGGUCUCUGGGCCGAUACUGACGCUGAGGAGCGAAAGCGUGGGGAGCGAACAGG